GUAAAAGAAAUGAGGAAAAAAGAAAAUCACUAUUAGAACACUACAGUAAUAAUUGUUGCAGGCAAGAUUCAUCAAUGAAUGCUAUAAUUAGUUGGUAAAAGUUUGAGGAUUAACAGGAUAUUUACAUAGUCUCAAAGUAUGUCCACUAAUAUAUUUAUUAUCUGCAAAAGGAAAAAACUUUAUGAUGGAGAAACUAGCAGAAACCACUUUCACCACAUGAUCAAGGUUAGCAUCACCAGUAAUAAGUCUGAUCAACAUCAAGCACCCAACACGAUGUACUGAGAAGGGCACGUUACCUCCAUGGUAUUCUUGCCCCAAACCCAUAACUGUCUAAUCAUGAGGAAAACAUCAAACAAAUCCAAAUUGAGGGACAUUCCAAAAAAAUAACUGACCAGUCUUUUUCAAAACUGUCAAAGUCAUGAAAGACAAAGAAAGACUGCCUAGGACAGGAAGAGACUGAGAAGACUUAGCAACCAAAGCAAAGUGGAAUCUCAGAUUGGAUCAUGGAAAAAUCAAACGACAUUGGAAACAUUGGUUAUAUCUGAAGUCUGUAGUUUAGUAAGUAGUAGCGUACCAAAGUUAUUUUCUUAGUUUUGAUCAUUGUACUAUGGCUAUGUGAGCUGCAUAAAGACAUUACAUAGAACUCUGCAGUGUCUUUGCAGCUUUUCUGUAAGUCCAAAAUUAUUUAAAAAUAGAAAGUAAAAAUUCAGAAGAGGAAUUAUUUCCAACCUAGAAUUUUAUACCUAAACUAUAAAUCAAUUGUGAGCAUAGCAUAAUGACAUUUCUCAGACAUGCAAGGGCUCAUUCACUUUCUGUUAGGAAGCGACUAUAGUUUUGCUCCCUUAAAAGAAUGAACCAAGAUGCAGACAUGGCAUCUAGGCAACGUGGAAUUCAACACUAGAGGGAAGCAAAGGUAUUUCCAGAACUGUGGCUAAGCAGAGGCUUCCAGAACAACCAGUAUAGAUGGGAGCAAGGGGACUAAUUGUUCCUAGAGGAAGGAUGUUGCAAACCAACCAGCUAACCAACCAAUCACCACCAACAGUUUACCUAUCUAUUUGAUUAUAUCGGGGAAGUUUUCCGUUUUGGCAGAGUGUGGGAUUGAAUUAUUGAUAAGUAUGCAGAAAACUAAGCAAACAGAAAAAAAAAAAAGACAAUGAUCAGCUCUUGGGAAAACAAAAUGUUGCCCUGAAAAGAAAUGUAAUCAUAGUAUCCUAAAUGACUCACUUGUGGAUAAUUUUUCCAUAGUCACGAUAAUGUAAAUACUAAAUACUCAUUUAACUAAAUAUUUAUAUUGGGAGGAGGGAAGAAGGGAAAUAUGUGUGUGAGUGGAGUAUAGGGAUAAGAAUUAAAUUCUUGUUUUCAAAGGUGAGAAGCAAGAAAAUCUCUGUCCAAUGGGCUCCCAGCCCCAAGGCAAGCUGCACAUUUUAGGUAUCAUCUGGGUGGGAAUAGUGAGGGUGGUGUGGCAGAUGUGAACACACAGGGGAAUCCUCUCUUCUGCUGUCCUAGGCAAACUGGUGGCUAGUGGAAGGAAGCCAAGGCUGAGUGGGAUUAGGGCUAGGAAGAUGGGCCAGGCUGUGCUGGCUCGUGAUGCAAUGACCUCAGGUUCUAUUUCAGCAGGGUUCAGCAUCUAAGGAGAUGCCAUCUAGGGUGGAGUGCAGCCACAAGUCAAAGCAGCUGAUAGCUGUCACGAGGUGGCUGUGGCCUGGUUUGGGCCUUGUUUUCAAGGUAGGUUCUGUGAAACACUACUUCUGAAGGAUGUAAAGAACUGACCUGAAAAGAGGGUUCCUUGGUCCAACAUGCUUGAGAAAUGCUGGAUUCAAUGACACUAAACAAGUUUCUCCAAUGCAGGACAUCUCAAAACCCUUCAUAUGAUUAUGGGAAUAUCCAAUCUCUAAGGCAUGGCAUGUGGGGGAGAUGGUGACAGAGUGUUUGAUCAUGACCAUGGAACCCUUUCUAUGCAGAACUUAACACUGGACUAGAGAACUACUGACAACCCUUUCCAGAGUAGGGGUCGGCGUCAGUCAGGGCCGGCACUAACAGGAAAAGCACCUGGUUCCUUGUAUCUUCACAUCUUUACCAUCACUGCCAACCCCUUUCCACUGGCUAGGGCUAAUUAGGGUUUUGGGGCCAACAGGCAAAUGAACUGAGGUUUGAGACAGGCUCUGCUCUCAUGAAAAACUGAAGUGUUAACAAGACAGAAAUGUAGGCAGAGGCCCAGUUAUAAGGUACAGAGGCACCCAGCAGGGGUGGGACUCAGUGGCCCCCAGACCUGUAGCAUGCUGACAGGCCCACGCAAAGCCAAGAUCAAACCUACAGCAGCCCUUCUCCAUCAGCCCAGCACCCUGAGUCGCAUUCCUUGGUCAGGCUCUGGAAAUGGUAGAGGCAGCUGCUGUGGGAAGGUGAACCCCGGGGGUUCUGGCCCAGCUUGUUUGGGGCAAAUGCAGGAGCUGACAACUUACAAUCACAGCCUGUCCCCACUCACCUGCUACAGAGGACUCAGUCAUUUCAUUUCCCUGAUUUCUCCAGGUCUCUAGUGGGGGUUCCCUGGUGCCGACACCAUUCCAUCCAGGAGCUGAUGAAAACCCCUCUUCUCUGAAGCACAGGCAGAAUGGAUCACCCUCUCUAGCGCGUGUUUAUGAGCUGACUAGAAAAAGGCACGUAGACGCAAGAAGACAGAAGUGUGAUUU
rnacentral:lncRNA from 1 species